AUAAAAAUAAAAAGAGAAAAAUCAAAAGAGGGGAAUUAGGGUUCAAACACUUGUGACGUUUGGAGUUCUUCUUCCUCAUUCACGAACGGCGCCGACCGUGCUUCCUCUUUUCCGAUCAAAACUCCGUUCGCCGCCGCAAACAACUGACGGACAACGUCAUCCCUACCCCGCCUCUCGAUCUCUCUCUUCCUCAGUUCUCCGAUCUCCCUUCGUUUCCACCGUAAAACCAACAUCAUGAGUAACCUCUUCUCCACGUCCGAUUCGAACCUAACCAACGGCGACCAGAUGGGAAUCCGGUACCUGUUCAACAGCGGAAGAGAAAGAACAACGGUGAAGUGAUUGUUUAGGACUUGUUAUUGUUGUUGUCGCUGCGUGAUGAUGAAGAUUGAUGAUUCUGAGAGAAGGCGCAGAGAUUGAAAGUGAAGCUGAUGAUCGUGACAGGGAUUGAAAUUGGAGAUUGAGAUGCGUAGAACCUUCUUCUGAUUCUCUCCUUUCUUGUUCUUCUGCAGGUUGGUGAUGGAAGAUGAGUGUUGAAGAAUCUGAGAUGAGUGAUGAUGAUGAAUGGAAUUGCAGAAAGAUUGUUGAAGAUGAUUGUGCAGUGGUGAUGAAGAGAGAAAUCGAUAGUGAAGAUGAGUGAAGUUAAGAGAUGAAGAGUGAUUGGAGAAUGAAGAUUUUCUGUGAGUUUUUUCUGUUGAAUUGAAUGGUUGUGGGUCGAAGAAGAUGAAGUUAUGAUGGUUAUGGUGGUGGAGUGGAGUGGAGAAGAUGAAUGGAGAUUAAGGAUUUUUUGAGAGAGUGAAGAUUCAGAGAAUGAAGAAGUUUAUCAAUUGGAGGGAACCUUGUUAUAUAGAUGAGAGGGAUGAUAUAGGUUUGAUGAAGCUCGAAGGCUUGAAGGAACGCAGUGCCAUUUAAAUGGCUGAGGAAUGUAUAUGCUUGAAUCACAUGGUUUGGAUUAGGAAGUGGCAAGGCUGUUUGGAAUAGUCAGACGAAGUUUGACCCAAGACUAAGGAUAAAGCUUGAAGAUCAGGAGCAAGUCACCAUAGGUUUAGGGGUUUUAGAAUUUGAUCUUCAUGUGUUCAUUUUUGUAUGAUUUUUGUAAUUGAUGACUAUGGACUAUAUUUCGUGGAAUAAGCAGGGACAGUUUUGGUGUGUGUAAAGUACAAGAUCACGUGGCUGAAUUGAUAUGUGUUUUAUUUCUUAUGCAGCUGGCUUGGUAUUGGGAAAAGGAUGGAAGGCAUGGUUAAGAAAUCAAGGAAUAGUUUUAGGAACUUUGGAUCAUAAUGUAUUUUAUGUAAAAUAUGUAAAUUUCAAGGUGUUUGUAUUUGGCAAUGUGUAUACUUGAAAGUGAAUGACCUUUUUUGUCUUUUGUAAUGGACUUUGACUUUUGAAUAAUGAAUGGUGUGAUGGAUUGUUGAGUUGGAA